GAUCGAACGGCGUGGCGGCGUGCCUAAACACAUGCAAGUCGGAACGAAGGCUUAGGACGAAUGAUUUUUUCGGAAUGAAUUCUGAUAUGACUUAGUGGCGGACGGGUGAGUAACACGUGAGCAACCUGCCUUUCAGAGAGGGAUAACGGCUGGAAACGGUCGCUAAUACCGCAUGAAAUGUUCGGAUGGCAUCGUCUGAACAUCAAAGAUUUAUCGCUGAAAGAUGGGCUCGCGUCUGAUUAGAUAGUUGGCGGGGUAACGGCCCACCAAGGCGACGAUCAGUAGCCGGACUGAGAGGUUGAACGGCCACAUUGGGACUGAGACACGGCCCAG
rnacentral:rRNA from 1 species